rnacentral:rRNA from 1 species
ACGCUGGCGGCGUGCCUAAUACAUGCAAGUCGAGCGGAUCUUGUCCUUCGGGGCAAGGUUAGCGGCGGACGGGUGAGUAACACGUAGGCAACCUGCCUGCAGGACCGGGAUAACUGGCGGAAACGCCUGCUAAUACCGGAUGACUGGUUGGCCCGCAUGGGUCGGCCGUGAAAGACGCUUCGGCGUCACCUGCGGAUGGGCCUGCGGCGCAUUAGCUAGUUGGCGGGGUAACGGCCCACCAAGGCGACGAUGCGUAGCCGACCUGAGAGGGUGAUCGGCCACACUGGGACUGAGACACGGCCCAGACUCCUACGGGAGGCAGCAGUAGGGAAUCUUCGGCAAUGGACGAAAGUCUGACCGAGCAACGCCGCGUGAGUGAGGAAGGCCCUCGGGUCGUAAAGCUCUGUUGCCAGGGAAGAACGGCCGGGAGAGGAAAUCGCUCUUCGGUUUGACGGUACCUGAAGAAGAAGCCCCCGUCAAACUAGCUGCCCAGCACGCCGGCGUAAUACGUAGGGGGCAAGCGUUAGUCCGAAUAUUAUUGGGCCGUAAAGGCGCGCGCAGGCGGUUCCUUAAGUUUUGUGUUUAAUCCCGGGGCUCAACCUCGGUUCGCAUGGGAAACUGGGAAACUGGAGUGCAGGAGAGGAAAGUGGAAUUCCACGUGUAGCGGUGAAAUGCGUAGAGAUGUGGAGGAACACCAGUGGCGAAGGCGACUUUCUGGCCUGUAACUGACGCUGAGGCGCGAAAGCGUGGGGGAGCAAACAGGAUUAGAUACCCUGGUAGUCCACGCCGUAAACGAUGAGUGCUAGGUGUCGGGGGAUUCGAUUCCUCGGUGCCGAAGUUAACACAGUAAGCCACUCCGCCCUGGGGGAGUACGCCUCGCAAGAGUGAAACUUCAAAGGAAUUGACGGGGACCCGCACAAGCAGUGGAGUAUGUGGUUUAAUUCGAAGCAACGCGAAGAACCUUACCAGGUCUUGACAUCCCCCUGACCGGCGCAGAGAUGCGCCUUUCCUUCGGGACAGGGGAGACAGGUGGUGCAUGGUUGUCGUCAGCUCGUGUCGUGAGAUGUUGGGUUAAGUCCCGCAACGAGCGCAACCCUUGAUCUUUGUUGCCAGCACGUAAAGGUGGGCACUCUAAGAUGACUGCCGGUGACAAACCGGAGGAAGGUGGGGAUGACGUCAAAUCAUCAUGCCCCUUAUGACCUGGGCUACACACGUACUACAAUGGUCGGUACAGAGGGCAGCGAGGCCGCGAGGCGGAGCGAAUCUCAGAAAGCCGAUCUCAGUUCGGAUUGCAGGCUGCAACUCGCCUGCAUGAAGCCGGAAUUGCUAGUAAUCGCGGAUCAGCAUGCCGCGGUGAAUACGUUCCCGGGUCUUGUACACACCGCCCGUCACACCACGAGAGUUUACAACACCCGAAGUCGGUGAGGUAACCGCAAGGAGCCAGCCGCCGAAGGUGGGGUAGAUGAUUGGGGUGAAGUCGUAACAAGGUAGCCGUAAGGGCGAAUUCCACAUU